CGCCUGUUUAUCAAAAACAUCGCCUCUUGUUCAAUUAUAGGAGGUCCAGCCUGCCCAGUGACUUUGUUCAACGGCCGCGGUAUCCUAACCGUGCGAAGGUAGCGUAAUCACUUGUUCUUUAAAUGAGGACUAGUAUGAAUGGCCCCACGAGGGCUGCACUGUCUCCUUUUUCUAAUCAAUGAAACUAAUCUCCCCGUGAAGAAGCGGGAAUUAUCCUAUAAGACGAGAAGACCCUAUGGAGCUUUAAACAAUUGAAACAUUUGCUUUUCUCCUAAUUCCUCCCGAGCUCUUUAUUUUUACUUAAGCAUUAUUAUUUCUAGUUUUAGGUUGGGGUGACCACGGAGCAAAACUAAACCUCCAUGAAGAAAUGAAUAUUUUUAAGCCACAAACUACUUUUUUAAGCAUCAACAAAUUGACCUUCAUUGACCCAAUAUAUUGAUCAACGAACCAAGUUACCCUAGGGAUAACAGCGCAAUCUACUUCAAGAGCUCAUAUCGACAAGUAGGUUUACGACCUCGAUGUUGGAUCAGGGUAUCCUAGUGGUGCAGCCGCUACUAAUGGUUCGUUUGUUCAACGAUUAAAACCCU
rnacentral:rRNA from 1 species